UCAGGCCUAACACAUGCAAGUCGUACGGGAGUUUUUAACUCUAGUGGCGGACGGGUGAGUAACACGUAAGAAUUUGCCUUUAGGAGGGGGACAACAACUGGAAACGGUUGCUAAUACCCCAUAUGCUUUCGAGUGAAAUGGAUUUCCGCCUAAAGAGAAGCUUGCGGCUGAUUAGCUUGUUGGUGAGGUAAUGGCUCACCAAGGCGACGAUCAGUAUCUGGUUUGAGAGGACGAUCAGACACACUGGAACUGAGACACGGUCCAGACUCCUACGGGAGGCAGCAGUGGGGAAUUUUCCGCAAGGGGCGAAAGCCUGACGGAGCAA
rnacentral:rRNA from 1 species